rnacentral:misc_RNA from 1 species
AACGCACAUUGCGCCCUUUGGUAUUCCGAAGGGCAUGCCUGUUCGAGCGUCAUUAUCAACCCUCAAGCCUGGCUUGUUGUUGGAUCUCACAUCGUUAAAAAGAUGGGUCCCAAAGGUAAUGACGGUGUCGCGAACGACCCCAGGUGCAACGAGCUUUACAGCACGCACGGGUGGUGGUCGGCCGGCCCCGGUCUUAACCAUAUUUAAUUCUCAAGGUUGACCUCGGAUCAGGUAGGAAUACCCGCUGAACUUAA